CAAACCAGAGGAAUGGGUCCCAGAAGAGCGAGCUGAACAGGAGGAGAGACGUGCUGGUCAGGGUGAGGCCGGUGCUAUCAUGUGGCCAGCUGUCACCUGACUGCUGGCUGGAAUAGCCAGGAAGAACGUGCCAGGAUUCAUCUAGGUUUGUACCUUAAGUAGACACUUGAGUCUUCCUUACCAAGUUACCCUCUGUGAGCACCUUGCCAGGAAAGAGGAUCCGGCCCCCUGAACUAUGACUUCUUAAAAAAAAGGAGCUGCGAAAGCCACAAACUGGAGAGAAGACCCUGGAAUGGGCACAGAGGUGAUGAAUG
rnacentral:lncRNA from 13 species